rnacentral:rRNA from 1 species
UACGUAGGGUGCAAGCGUUACUCGGAAUUACUGGGCGUAAAGCGUGCGUAGGUGGUUGUUUAAGUCUGCUGUGAAAGCCCUGGGCUCAACCUGGGAAUUGCAGUGGAUACUGGGCGACUAGAGUGUGGUAGAGGAUAGUGGAAUUUCCGGUGUAGCAGUGAAAUGCGUAGAGAUCGGAAGGAACAUCUGUGGCGAAGGCGACUAUCUGGGCCAACACUGACACUGAGGCACGAAAGCAUGGGGAGCAAACAGG